GUGCCAGCCGCCGCGGUAAUACGUAGGGUGCGAGCGUUAAUCGGAAUUACUGGGCGUAAAGCGUGCGCAGGCGGUUUUGUAAGUCAGGUGUGAAAUCCCCGGGCUCAACCUGGGAACUGCGUUUGAAACUACAAGGCUAGAGUGUGGCAGAGGGGGGUAGAAUUCCACGUGUAGCAGUGAAAUGCGUAGAGAUGUGGAGGAAUACCAAUGGCGAAGGCAGCCCCCUGGGUUAACACUGACGCUCAUGCAC
rnacentral:rRNA from 1 species